GAUGAACGCUGGCGGCGUGCCUAACACAUGCAAGUCGAGCGAUCUUCUUCGGAAGAGAGCGGCGGACGGGUGAGUAACGCGUGGGUAACCUGCCUCAUACACAUGGAUAACAUACCGAAAGGUAUGCUAAUACAAGAUGAUAUAAGAGAUUCGCAUGGAUUUCUUAUCAAAGCUCCGGCGGUAUGAGAUGGACCCGCGUCUGAUUAGCUAGUUGGUAAGGUAAUGGCUUACCAAGGCGACGAUCAGUAGCCGACCUGAGAGGGUGAUCGGCCACAUUGGAACUGAGACACGGUCCAAAACUCCUACGGGAGGCAGCAGUGGGGAAUAUUGCACAAUGGGCGAAAGCCUGAUGCAGCAACGCCGCGUGAGCGAUGAAGGCCUCGGUCGUAAGAC
rnacentral:rRNA from 1 species